rnacentral:lncRNA from 1 species
UCUCCUCGAACUCCGGAGAUCCUUCUGAAAAUUCCGAGAAAUCCCCUUCUGGUGCUUCGGUGUCUAUAACACAACAUAUGCAGGGGUUAGGAAUGCAACUUUUUGAAUAUAAGACUAUACAACUUUCCUUCAUAAUAAAGUUGCAAGACAACAAGGACUAUACAACUUAUCAUGAUAAAGUUGCAAGCCAACACACAAAAACCCGAAAAGAUUAACCCAACAAUUUUAUUUCCUUAACUAACCUUACCUAGGGCUUUUUCUUUUAUUUUUAGAAAAUGUUAUAAUUAUUUUCUAGCCUUAAAAUCUAAUUUCCUAUGAGUUAAUAAUAAUUUGUGAUUAUGAAAAUUUUAUUCCAUAUUUUAUGUAUUUAAUAAAGAUUAAGUAUUUAUUUAAAUACCUUAAAAGAAAGGCAUUAAAUAAAUACCCAAAUUUUUAUUAUUUUUCUAAGGUAUAAAAAUUUUAAUGCAUCAAGGAAAAUAAAAUGAGCCUAACAAAAUUGGUUUCACUAAUUUUGGACACCCCUAGAAAUUUCUAUGAUUUAAAUGGUGAGAUUCGAAUUUAAAAUAUUUAUUCUAUAAAGGAAAUCUAACUUUGUCCUGAAAAACACCCCGGCCUACUUUUCUCAUGCGCCUUAACUCUACCCCCUCUCUCUUACACUAGGCCCGGGGCUCGGACCCACCCCCUUCUCCUAUUCAUCCUACCCGCCGACCACUUCUCCUCAGCCGGGCCCUACUGGGCCGAUUUUCUUUUUUUAUUUUCCUUAUCUCGGACUAGCACCGGCCCAACGGCCCAUUACUUCUUUUCCUCUUCCCGCGCAGCUCCUGGCCCACCUCCCUGGCCUACAGGCCUGUUGGACUCAUGGGCCUCUGGCCUUCUUUGCUCCUUUGACUGCCCGCACCGGCACCUGGGCCUCCAGGACUGCGGCCCAUCCGACGCCCUCGCCCAGCCGGCCUCCCUUUUCUCUCUUCUUCUCCCUGACGCACGAGCCCGCGGCACCAGGACCUUCUUCUUCCUCCCGCCAAAAACUGCAACGACAGGGGGCGGUGCGGCUCGCUGGCCGGCGCCUCACCGGCGACAGGGCUAGGCCGGGGAAGCAUCCCCAUGCCCUAACGCACCUGUGCGCGGUGAUAGCUCCCCGGGAGAUGGCCGGAGCCAUUCCCUCCACGGCGGCGGGCGGUGGCGCCUACGGCCGGUCGUGACUAAGCACGACGACAGCUUAGCUUACCCCGACGAGUACCUCUACGGCUUCCUAGCAUCCCAAGGACUCACCUAUGACUACCCAUAGGGAAAGAGAACAGCGGCAAGAAGGUGCUCACUGUGAG